UACGAAGGGGCUAGCGUUGCUCGGAAUCACUGGGCGUAAAGGCGCGUAGGCGGCCAUUCAAGUCAGAGGUGAAAGCCCAAGGCUCAACCUUGGAACUGCCUUUGAUACUGUUUGGCUUGAGACCGGUAGAGGUAAGUGGAACUGCGAGUGUAGAGGUGAAAUUCGUAGAUAUUCGCAAGAACACCAGUGGCGAAGGCGGCUUACUGGACCGGUUCUGACGCUGAGGCGCGAAAGCGUGGGGAGCAACAGG
rnacentral:rRNA from 1 species